rnacentral:rRNA from 1 species
UACGUAGGGUGCAGGCGUUAAUCGGAAUUACUGGGCGUAAAGCGUGCGCAGGCGGUUUGUCAAGACAGGUGUGAAAUCCCCGGGCUUAACCUGGGAACUGCGCUUGUUACUGGCAGACUUGAGUGUGGCAGAGGGGGGUGGAAUUCCAGGUGUAGCAGUGAAAUGCGUAGAUAUCUGGAGGAACACCGAUGGCGAAGGCAGCCCCCUGGGUUAACACUGACGCUCAUGCACGAAAGCGUGGGGAGCAAACAGG